UUUUUUCAAAAGGGGAGCUUGUAAUGCAGGCUGAGAGGAAGUUUAAGCUUCGACCCAUAACUUGAUUCGGAUAAUGCCGACGUAAGGAAAUAUUUGAUUUAUGCU
rnacentral:ncRNA from 2 species